AUACGGAGGAUCCAAGCGUUAUGCGGAUUUAUUGGGUUUAAAGGGUGCGCAGGCGGCCUUAUAAGUCAGUGGUGAAAUCUCCCGGCUCAACCGGGAAACUGCCAUUGAUACUGUAAGGCUAGAAUACAGACGAGGUAGGCGGAAUGUAGCAUGUAGCGGUGAAAUGCUUAGAUAUGCUACAGAACACCGAUCGCGAAGGCAGCUUACCAGACUGUAAUUGACGCUAAGGCACGAAAGCGUGGGGAGCGAACAGGAUUAGAAACCCCAGUAGUCC
rnacentral:rRNA from 1 species